rnacentral:tRNA from 1 species
GACCGCGUAGCUCAGUUGGCAGAGCAUUGGGUUAGUAUUCCAAAGGUCGUAGGUUCAAUUCCCACCGUGGCCG